rnacentral:lncRNA from 10 species
UCGCUCGCUGUCGUCAGUGCUAGGAACCUGCGCCCGGCUGAGCUGAGCGAGGCGAGAGGAGAAAGCGAGGCCCGGGGACGGGACUGAGAGCUCUGAAAGGAGGGAGGCGGCUCCCGAGUACUCCGCGCGGGGCAGGCCCCGGCCUCGCCUCUUCGCCCAUUUUUAAGGCUCGAGUUAGAGGCCACCUCCUCCGAGAAGCCUUCGGUGACACCACCUCUCCCAGACGGUUCCCCUUUCUGAUUCCCACAGCAUUUUCCAACCAUUCACGGUCAGAACCACUCACCAGGACGUGUUGUCACCAUUUUACCGCUUUGCCUCGUCUCUUAACUAGACGAAAUGGGUUCCUUUUGGCUCUUUGGAAAGGGAGGCUGUCUUCUAUUUAUUUCCGUGGUAAUCCCACCUCCCACAACAAGUUCCAUUCUACAGCAAUGUCUUUUCUCUUGCUGAGAACCAUUCAAGUCUAAGUUUUCUGCCGUCUUCCUUCCUCAUUGUGGUUUGGACCUUCUCGAGAAAGAAUCUGGCCUCAGUCUCCCUCUUCCACACUCAGGGACCGCCACCAUCACAGGCACUCGGUAGAUGUCUGCUGAAUGAGGAUAACUUCUACCCAACACCGUGAAGCCUGGCCCAGGGUCUGGCAUACAGAUGCCGUGUUUGUAAGUCCUGGUUGCUCAUCUCGCCCACUUGCACAGCCCACCUGUGUGGCCGACUCAGGAUUGACCCACCUGCUCUCUUCAGGCCAUAUUCCCACGCAGAAGUGGGUCCCACUCCUCAGGCCUCUGUGCUGGCCCCGUCUGUGGGGUUAGCAAGCAGCCCUGCUCUCCAUUUCCAGCUCAGAAGCAACUGGAUCGUUACCUCAUUGGUGACAACUUGACUGUGCUGCCCAGAGCUGAUAAGAAACAUCACCCGGGGAAGACCAGCUGCCUCUUCCUUGCUUCCUAAUCAGGGUGGAAAUACUGCUAAAUAUAUCACAACUCUUUGCAAGCAUCGUUGGGUUAAGUUCACAUAGAGCUGGUAUUUA